rnacentral:lncRNA from 1 species
GUGUCGAUGAAUCUGGACACCAGACCGAGCGUGAUUGCUGUCCGCGUGGGAGAGAACGCUGUAACGGGCGAGUGAGCCGUCUCUAAGUAAGGUCCACGAGAGAGAGUUCUGUUGGGAGAGGAAGUGACGCUGGACUCGGGCCUCUGGGUGCUGGACAGAAAGGGCCUCUCCAGCCCUGGGCCCCCGGGGAUGCGGGCAGCCUGCACCGCCGGACAUUCGCUGGUUUUGCAGCAGCCGCCUGCCCCACACAGCUAAUGACCGCGAUAAGCAGAAAGUUCCUGGGUCUGUGGGAGCUGUGGAACCGCCAGCCGACGUCAGGAGUCUGAACAGGAUGCCCAGGAGCGGGAAGCUGGGAUCUGGAGUGGAGCCGAGCCGCAAACCCAGCGCUCUGACUUGUGAUGCUGGCACACAAUGGCCGGGCCCAACACCUGCCCGCAGGGUCAAACAUCCACCCUCGAGCCCUCGGAUUUGGGAGCCAGCUCAUGUCCUGGCUGCUCCACUUCUGGUCCAUCUUCUUGCUGAUGGCCUGGAAAAGCCCUGGAAGAUGGCCCAAGUGGUUGGGCCCCUGCAGCCAUGUGGAAGACCUGGCUCCUGGCUUCAGCCUGGCCCAGCCCUCGCCUUUGCAGCCAUCUGGAGAAUGAACCAGUGGAUGGAAGAUUCGUCUCCAUUCAUCUCUCUGCCCCUCCCUCUCUGUAACUGUGACUUUCAAAUAAAUAAAUAAAUAAAAUCCUGAAGAAAAUGAAAAAGUCAUAUUUAAAUUACUUUUGAGUAGAACAGGGGACACCUUUGUGGCCAGAAGUGAGAGGCAUUGGCCCACCUGAACUCUGGCUGCCUUUCCCUCUCCAUGUCCCCGUUAGCCUCCAUUUCCAGCCAGCAAUGGGAACAAGAAGGCUGAGCCCUGGGCGGGGGGGUGUCAAUGCUUAGCCCCUCCUACUGCUCUCUCAAGUUCAGCCCAGUGCAGCCAGGAGACCAGGGAGAUCCAGGGCCAGCUUCGUUCCUGGCAGAAGGCACCUGGCUUGGGAUGUGGAGGGGAAGGCUGGCUCCUGGGUCCCACUGGGCUAGGUGGGCGUGGCCUCAGUCACAGGAGCUCCAGGCUUCUCCAGGCUGCCCUGGCGGACAAGCUGAGCCACAGGGCAGAGAGAGCCAGCGUGGGCUCUUCACACGUGGACACGGCCAGCCACGUCCAAGUCACUCAUCACACGCCCUGCAUGAGGCUGGGGCCAGGAGAAGCAGCCAGGAGGGCCGUGUCCACCUGGGUGCAUGGAAACACAGACAGUGGGUGUGAACGUCCCCUUGUCACCAUCUGUGGGAUUGGCUCAUCCUUGGACCACGCCUGUCUGUGGGACAAGUUG